rnacentral:rRNA from 1 species
ACUGAUGGUGCAAGCGUUAUUCGGAAUUACUGGGCGUAAAGGGCUUGCAGGCGGGAGAGCAAGUCUGAUGUUAAAGCCCCGGGCUUAACCCCGGAAGGGCAUUGGAAACUGAUUUUCUUUAGUUCUGGAGAGGAAGGGAGAAUUCCCGGUGUAGAGGUGAAAUUUGUAGAGAUCGGGAGGAACAGCAGUGGCGAGGGCGCCCUUCUGGAUAGCAACUGACGCUGAUCCGCGAAAGCGUGGGGAACAAACAG